CCCUCGCUGCCUGUUCUUUCCAGGCCAGGUAUUUUUUUUAAAACUGUAAGCAUGCCAGGAGGAAAGUGGUGACUCAAAUUCCCAUAAUCUUAACAGAAUCAUACAGGGACACCAGCCAACAUGCUGCUGAAAAAAAAUAUCCCUACCAUAAAUUGAGGUCGCUAGAGGGGGACGUUAACCCGGGGCUAACAGCAACGAGGAGCUCUCAUUAUACCUGGUCCAGUCGCAGCAGGAUUUACACUGAGUGGCUUUUGCCAAGCCCCUAAUUCCUCACUGUCGUUGAGCAAGGUACUGUGCUCUUGUGUCAAAGAAUAUGAUGGUACUGAGCUGUGUGUUUCCUUCGCAUAGUCCUAGUGAACGUUUGGAUACAGUAGAUUUAGUAUUAUUUAAAACCCCACUACUGAGGAUUUUUUGCAUCUGCUGUUGGUUUUGGCAGAGUGUUGUAAACAAACUCCCUGCCUGAAUGGCUUAUAGGCAAAUACUGCAUGCUUUAAUGAGAGUUCUUAAUCUAACUUGUCACUCUGUUUACAUCAAACAGUUUCUUCCUGGCCCUUUAUCUAAUUUUCUUCAUCUGUGAUGUUCUGUUCCUUCUCAUUCUCUUCACAAUCCCUUUAUCUUUUCUUCAAGGACGUGCAACUCAGAAGUGUUUAUUUUGACAAUAUUACUCGGUGAUCUCUCCACAGAUGAGUAAUGCCUUCAGUGCGCAUCCAGUGAUGCUCCUAUAAUAGAAGCCUUAUCAGAGGGGUGAAUUUGGCCCUUUGGCUUUUCGGUGGAGUAAAUUAACACAUUAAAAGGAAGCAGAUAAAAAGGCUUGCCUAAAAUGUAAUCACAGUUUCUCUCAGUAACUAUUCAGUAACCAGAGGUUCCAAACCAUUGGUUGCAAAUCAAUGAGCAAAACUGUCCGCAAGCCCAGAGGCAAACUGUUCCACAAAUCUGCUUUGUAGUGCUGCCUUAUUUUCCUUUUCAAAAGGCUGAAAGUGAUUUUGUGGACUAAAAUGUGUUGGUGCCCCAAAAGGGCGUUUAUUUUCCAAAAGCUAAACAUCACUCUGCUCCUUUUGUAGGAUAAAAUACGGCACACAUAGGUGUGUUUGUCCCAUAAAAUAGUCAUGUCAUAAGGCAUUGUUACAAAUUCUGAUGCUAGGAAGUUUAUGAGAUUGGCUUUAUAAUAAAUACUGGGCAAAUCUCUCACUGUGCAAGUUGCCUUACAAUAGUGCUGAAGGUUGAAGCUGGCUGUCUUCAUGAAGUACUAGAACUAAAGGACCUCUAGUGAAAAGAGCUCUGCUAAUAAAAUCUUGUGGCUGCACGAUCAAAAAAACAUUGUUGUGCACUCAGAUGAUACCUGUCAUGAUGAACCUGUGCCAUCAAUUCAAACUUUCUGGCUUCUGCUCCCUUUUGAUGAACAAAAGAAGAAAGAGGGGCUGGCAACAAGCAGAGGCAUCAGUGAGGUCUAUAAAAGCAAUGAGCAUUAGAAUCAGUUUUUACCUGUAAAUAUCUGACCCCUGCGUGAGUGCUGCUCAUUAAAAAGAAUGAGAUCAAUCCAGUCCGUAGUAAAUAAAUGCAUUCCCAGUUCUUGAAUCUUAGCUUUUUGCAAAUUUUAUUAUUCAUUUAGUAUUAAUCUUAUAUAUAAGGAUACAACAAGGACUGAAAGUCACGCAGCAAUCUGGAGUUCUUGCCCUCAAAGAGACAAAGACCCUAGAUCAGUAUCACAGUAUUUUGUCUUUGAUUAUUUCACUAGGCUAGGACGGUGGGAUACGUGGUGGUUUAGGAAGAAAAUUUCUACUGGUGUUUGACAGGUGUCAGAGAGAACUUUGGGUUUGAUCCUGUGGCAUUCUAACUAGUUCCCCUGUGCUCUCGCUGCUCUCCUAAAACAAUAUUUGCAAGCUUUUUCCUGGUUUUAGAGAAGCAUGCACUGACCAAUAACAUAUCUUUGCUUGUCAAAUAAGGACAGCACGUGAUAGAACAGCAGUCACCUUUAUGAGAAUUAUGGGCUGAUGGCUUUCAGAUUUCUCAAAAGGCCUCAUUUGGAUUACUAGAAGAAAGUAAUUAUACAAAUAAAUCUUGAGCUAAUCUAACUGCAGAUUAUGUGCUACUUCAUGAACCUGUGUUUCUGUUGUUCUUUAUGUAUGGAAUGUACCUUCUAGGUUUCUGCUCUGUAAGUGUUCAGAAUUAAUUGUGUAGCUACUUGUCAGUUCUUUCUGUUGCUUGCCAAGGAACUAAGAAAAGGAUUUGCACAGCUAUCUCAGUGUUUUGGUAUUUUGCUGUGAAUGAUAGCUCAGUAGCUGAUACUCACAAAUGCCUGUGUACUGGAUGAAAAUGCAUUAAAACUUAUUUUAUAUGUUGUAUUUUAUUUA